GUGAGUCAGAGCACAGGCUCAGAGAUUCUCAGCCUGCGCUCUGACAACAUUGAAAGUCAGAGCUGUGAAGGAGUGGGUAUUAGCAUAACAUGAAUAUCCGUUAUUAAACCAGGAAAAGGUGGGCAUAGAUGGUGAACUGAUUUGGUGGUGCAAUGGGCCACUUGACUGGUUUUGCACCCCAGGCCUAAGGCUGCCAGCCCUCCCCUGUGUGUAUAUGCC